GGGAGUGUAGCUCAACGGUUAGAGCCAGCGGCUCAUAACCGCUUGGUUGGGGGUUCGAAUCCCUCCACUCCCACCA
rnacentral:tRNA from 1 species